CUCAGGUGGUGUCAGUAAAUAUAUUCAGUCUCAGGUGGUGUCAGUAAAUAUAUUUCGUCUCAGGUGGUGUCAGUAUUUAGUCUCAGGUGGUGUCAGUAAAUAUAUCCAGUUUCAGGUGGUGUCAGUCAAUAUAUUCAGUCUCAGGUGGUGUCAGUAAAUAUAUUCAGUCUCAGGUGGUGUCAGUAAAUAUAUUUAGUCUCAGGUGGUGUCAGUAAAUAUAUUCAGUCUCAGGUGGUGUCAGUAAAUAUGUUUUGUCUCAGGUGGUGUCAGUAAAUAUAUUUAGUCUCAGGUGGUGUCAGUAUUUAGUCUCAGGUGGUGUCAGUCAUUAUAUUCAGUCUCAGGUGGUGUCAGUAAAUAUGUUUUGUCUCAGGUGGUGUCAGUAAAUAUAUUCAGUCUCAGGUGGUGUCAGUAAAUAUAUUUCGUCUCAGGUGGUGUCAGUAUUUAGUCUCAGGUGGUGUCAGUAAAUAUAUCCAGUUUCAGGUGGUGUCAGUCAAUAUAUUCAGUCUCAGGUGGUGUCAGUAAAUAUAUUCAGUCUCAGGUGGUGUCAGUCAAUAUAUUUCGUCUCAGGUGGUGUCAGUAAAUAUAUUCAGUCUCAGGUGGUGUCAGUAUUUAGUUUCAGGUGGUGUCAGUAAAUAUAUUCAGUCUCAGGUGGUGUCAGUAAAUAUGUUUUGUCUCAGGUGGUGUCAGUAAAUAUAUUUAGUCUCAGGUGGUGUCAGUAAAUAUAUUCAGUCUCAGGUGGUGUCAGUAAAUAUGUUUUGUCUCAGGUGGUGUCAGUAAAUAUAUUUAGUCUCAGGUGGUGUCAAUAUUUAGUCUCAGGUGGUGUCAGUCAAUAUAUUUAGUCUCAGGUGGUGUCAGUAAAUAUAUUCAGUGUCAGGUGGUGUUAGUCAAUAUAUUCAGUCUCAGGUGGUGUCAGUAAAUAUUUUCAGUCUCAGGUGGUGUCAGUAAAUAUUUUCAGUCUCAGGUGGUGUCAAUCAAUUUCAAUUUCAAUCACUCAAUUUUAUUUAUAAAGCCCAAUAUCACAAAUCACAAUUUGCCUCACAGGGCUUUACAGCAUACGACAUCCCUCUGUCCUUAUGACCCUCACAGCUGAUCAGGAAAAACUCCCCAAAAAACCCUUUAACGGGGAAAAAACGGUAGAAACCUCAGGAAGAGCAACUGAGGAGGGAUCCCUCUUCCAGGACGGACAGACGUGCAAUAGAUGUCGUACAGAACAGAUCAGCAUGAUAAAUUAACAGUAAUCCAUAUGACACAGGGAGAGAGAGAGAGAGAGAGAGAAAGAGAGAGAGAGCGAGAGAGAGAUAUGCAGGUAAUGACAGUAGCUUACAACAACAUUAAUGAAAGUAAUAAUAUUAUAGUUAUGGUUCUGGUUACUGCGGUACAAUAUGUUGAAAGUAUGUAUUAAUACCUGGCAGUAUACAUGUGUGACAAUAAUCAUAUGUGUAUAAUAACAGUAGAAGUAUGACUAAUGACUAAUGAUGGCAGCAGCAGCAGGAGGCAUCUGGCAGGACCACGGCAGCAGCACAACCACACACGUCACGCUGUCCAGGCACCGCUGUGAUAUGAGUUAA